rnacentral:rRNA from 1 species
GAUGAACGCUGGCGGCGUGCCUAAUACAUGCAAGUCGAGCGAACAGACGAGGAGCUUGUUCCUUUGACGUUAGCGGCGGACGGGUGAGUAACAUGUGGAUAAUCUACUUAUAAGUCUGGGAUAACUUCGGGAAUCCGGAGCUUAUCCCGGAUAAUAUACUGAACCGCAUGGUUCAAUAGUGAAUGUCGGUUUUGCGGUCACUUAUAGAUGGAUCCGCGCCGCAUUGGCUAGUUGGUAAGGUAACGGCUUAUCAAGGCAACGAGGCGUAUCCGACCUGAGAGGGUGAUCGGCCACACUGGAGCUGAGACAGGGACCAGACUCCUGCGGGAGGCAGCAGUAGGGAAUCUGCCGCAAUGGGCGAAAGCCUGACGGAGCAACGCCACGUGAGAGAUGAAGGUCUUCGGUUCGUAAAACUCUGUUAUUGGGUAAGAACAGAUGUGGAAGUAGCUGAACACGUCUUGACGGUACCUAAUCAGAAAGCCACGGCUAACUACGUG